AUGUCGGGCCAGCCAAGGUGGGGCUGGCUGGGGGAAUCGGGCCGCGGCCUAACUGCGGCCUUAACCCGGCCUAGUUUCGGCCCGCCCUUCAAUUACCUCAGUACGGGGCCCGAGGCGCGCCCUUGGACUCGGCGCCCUCCCCCGCUGGGCGGGCCCACUCACUUAAACCGGCAACUUGUUCGUGGUGCUGUAGCCUGCACUGCUCUGAGGCGCGGUGCGAUACCAGUCCACUGCCAGGGGCCGAACGCUGCCCGGCUCCAGGCCCCGCCAAUUAGGCUUCGAUCUGGCGGCGGCGGCGGGCUGAGUGCGCGCCCGCCCGCACCGGCUUUUCGGGGUUACGUCAGAGCGAGGCAGCUGAGGAGCUGCAGCCUGAGCCGCAGGGUAGAGCAGAGCGCAGGCUGGGUGAUGCGCUGCAACAACAAAACCACGGGAAUCGGGCAAAAUCUGCAGCAACUGCAACAAAAUAACGCAGCGCACGAAAGGGCAGAAGUUUGGCUUCAUUUGAUUUGUGUCGCAUUAAACAACACGUAAAAGCAGUUCCUUCAAUUUUAAAUGGCCCCAUCGGUGAACAAGAGAAAUUGGAAGGGAAACUUUCACGUUGCCUGGAUUUCUGCUAUUGGUUGAGAAGACAGAAAAAUCCAACAGUAUUGUAUUGCCUUGGAGACAAAUAUCUGAACUGUGAAAAGAUGACAAAGUCAUGUCACAGAAACUUGGAAAUCUAAUAUGGUCCAUUGAAUCAUUUCUGCUUUAUUUUAAAAAAAGUACAAUUGAUGUUAAAACAUGAGAGUGUUCAGACCUAAGGUUGUCCUAUUUUCUAAUUGGAAAAGAUAUAUGAAUGAGUCUUGAAAAUAUUGAUAUUAAAUUGGAUAAGGUUUAGUUUUGAUAACAUGUAGGUUCAGAUUUCUCUUAUAAAUAAAGAUACUUGGAUUCAUC